CACGAGCAGAAAAUUAUUGUGUCGUUGUGACCGAAUUUGAAUAAAGGACAAACGGGAGAAAGUUGUUAACGGCCCCCAGACAAAUGUGCAACAGAAAAGGACGCUAAGUUUUUGGAAUAAGUCCUUGGUUAUGAGUUAUUCCCUCCGCUCUAUCCUCUGUGACAUACGAGCAUGGGAGCUUUGUUUUCACUGUGCAUAUGUUACUAGGACACUUGAACCCUGCAUCAGAUCAAUAGACAAAGGAAUGUGGUUCCAUUGACCAAAGGCAAUGAAAACCACAUUUGCAUGCAAAGCCAUCAGAAGAGCAAGUGGGAAAAAAGUAAUCACUUAAUCUCAAUGAGGAAUGGAGACUGCACCCCCAGGAAGUCUUCCUGACUCUUGAAGCAGGGUUAAUGAACUUCGAGAGAGAUACUUUUCAAAGAUUUACUGGACUACAAAGAGAGGGGUACAGAACCCCUAAAUGAUUUUCAGCUAAGGAGAGAAGGAAAACAAGCGCCUUGGCCUCUAUGGGGAUCCUGAGUAAGAAGUAAUCAGCCACAGCUGGAAAACAAAGAUUUACAACUGUCUGGGUGGUGCCUCUCUCCCCCCCGGCAAGGAAGAGUGAAUUCUAAGAGCUGUCACAGUAUUGUGGUAAUUGGAAACAAACCUGAAAAUGCCAGAUAAUCAUUUUGAUGAAAAAUUUCUAACUUGCUCUACUGACCAUGUCGGGGAACCUGAGGAGGUGCAUGCACCAGAGGCAUUUGGCACCUGGGAAGGUAAGAAAUAGAGAGAUCAAUGGCUGGCCUUCCAGAGAAUGGGGAAGACAGGGAUAGCAACAAGUGGCAGGCUUCGCAGGUGUAGGUCUUUGGGGCACACACAUGUUUAGCCAGGCUGUGAUUAGCUUCACUGAUUCAGCAGGCCAGCUGCAGCUUCUGUUCACCACACUGGACUGGUGGGUGGGCAGGAAGGUUAGUGAUGCAGUGGAGCCAGAAUGCCGUUCUGGGACUAUUAAGCAGAAGCAAUGUUGUAACUGAGCCAAAAGGGGGCCUGGUCCCAGUACUCUGUCAUCCUGGAGUGCUGGGGGGAUGCACUCACCCAUGAGGAGCAGCACGUUCCGGGCUUGGCCUCACAACACCCCAGAGUGAGGAGUAGUACCCACUGCAGCCAGAAGAGGUACAUGGUGAUCUCACACCAUCAGUAGCACAGUGCCCUUCCAAGCAGGACAGGGGGCUUGGUGGAUUUUUUGCAUUGAUGCAGUGUCACAGCAAGGUUGUAGGCAGCCACACCUAGCAGUCAGAGCCAGAGUCCACAG